CCUACGGGUGGCUGCAGUAGGGAAUCUUCCGCAAUGGACGAAACUCUGACCCAGCGACGCCGCGUAUAGGAAGAAGUUUUUCGGAAUGUAAACUAUUGUCGUUAGAGAAGAGAAAGGACAGUACCUACGGAGGAAGCUCCGGCUAACUACGUGCCAGCAGCCGCGGUAAUACGUAGGGAGCGAGCGUUGUCCGGAAGUAUUGGGUGUAAAGGGUGCGUAGGCGGGAAAACAAGUUAGUUGUGAAAUCCCUCGGCUUAACUGAGGAAGGGCAACGAAAACUAUUAGUCUUGAGUGCAGGAGAGGAAAGUGGAAUUCCUUGUGUAGCGGUGAAAUGCGUAGAUAUUUGGAGGAACACCAGUGGCGAAGGCGACUUUCUGGACUGUAACUGACGUUGAGGCACGAAAGUGUGGGGAGCAAACAGGAUUAGAUACCCUAGUAGUC
rnacentral:rRNA from 1 species